rnacentral:rRNA from 1 species
AGAGUUUGAUCCUGGCUCAGAGCGAACGCUGGCGGCGUGCUUAACACAUGCAAGUCGAGCGAGAAAGGGGACUUCGGUCCUUGAGUACAGCGGCGAACGGGUGCGUAACACGUGGGCAAUCUGUCUUCAAGAUGGGAAUAACCCAGCGAAAGUUAGGCUAAUACCCAAUAAGACCACGAAAAGCAAUUUAUGUGGUCAAAGAACGCCCCCUCUAGGGGCAUUCGCUAGAAGAGGAGCCCGCGACCUAUCAGCUUGUUGGUGGGGUAACGGCUCACCAAGGCAAAGACGGGUAGCUGGUCUGAGAGGAUGACCAGCCACACGGGGACUGAGACACGGCCCCGACUCCUACGGGAGGCAGCAGUGGGGAAUAUUGGGCAAUGGGGGAAACCCUGACCCAGCGACGCCGCGUGGGUGAUGAAGGCCUUCGGGUCGUAAAGCCUUGUCAAGAGGAAAGAAUGUUUUCGAAGCAAAUAGUUUCGAAAAGUGACGGUACCUCUGAAGGAAGCACCGGCCAACUCCGUGCCAGCAGCCGCGGUAAGACGGAGGGUGCAAGCGUUGCUCGGAAUCAUUGGGCGUAAAGGGUGCGUAGGCGGUCUCUUAAGUCUGACGUGAAAGUCCAGGGCUCACCCUUGGAAGUGCGCCAGAAACUGGAAGACUAGAGUACCGGAGGGGAGAGUGGAAUUCCUGGUGUAGCGGUGAAAUGCGUAGAUAUCAGGAGGAAUACCGGUGGCGAAAGCGACUCUCUGGACGGUAACUGACGCUGAGGCACGAAAGCGUGGGGAGCAAACAGGAUUAGAUACCCUGGUAGUCCACGCCGUAAACGAUGGACACUAGGUGUCGAGGGUAUCCACUCCCUCGGUGCCGCCGCUAACGCAUUAAGUGUCCCGCCUGGGAAGUACGGCCGCAAGGUUAAAACUCAAAGGAAUUGACGG